ACGCGGGGUCCGCGUGCGCCAUCAUACACCGGAACAGAAUUUAUCUCUAAUUAGCUUUACAAAAGAGAGAAAGCGAGAUUAAUCCUAAUCCAAUUAGAUAACAUAAUAUCCGUCGGAUCGAGCCAGAUUAUGGGCGCACCCGAUUCGAUUUAACCGAAUGCCAACACCAUUGAUUUAAAGUUUAGAAUUAAUUAAAAAUUUUAAAAUUUAGGGACACAUUAAAAGAAAUUGUGUAUUAUGAAGCAAAUACGAAAAGUAAUUACAGUAUAACUAAAUUAAAAUUAUAUGAAAAUUAUAAAUUAAAGUUAGAAAAAAAUUAAUUAAUAAAUAGACUUAGGCUACAAAUAAUUAUUUAAAUAUAAAAUAAAAAUAAAAAUAAAAAUUUAAUUUAGUAAAAUAUGAUGCGCAUCGUAGGCGAACUGCAACCAGUGUAUGUACAAAAUUAAACUUGAGAAUUAAUUACAGUGUAGUUUUAUCUGUUAUUAUUAUUUCCCAAGGGAGGCUGUGGUGGGGAGCAGUCGGAGUGGUGGCGACUGGACAUUCGGCCGGGCUUUUUACUNGAGAGAGAGAGAGAGAGAGAGAGAGAGAGAGCUAGGCUACUAUACUAUCUAUAGUAGCGGAGCUCCGGUACUAUAGUGUUGUUUUCGAUCUUCAAGCGUUCAAAUCAACGAUCCACACCGUUAAAACUGAUCUAGGGUAUUUAAAAUAUUUAGAAAUAAAAUUUUAUAUUUUUUCGACAUAGUUUACUUUAUGAUCAAACCAUUUCAAAAAUAUCAAUUUUCAAUAGCUAUUAUGACGAGUUUGGAGUUUAACGGUGUAGAAGAAUCUAAAUUUCUUCAAAGUUUGAUAGAAAAUACUUUAAGCUAUAUAGAUUAAGAUAAAUAUUCUUGAUCUUGAAUUUAAAUAUCCUAUGCUCAAAUUUUAAAGAGUAUUCAAUUUUCACUGUCCAUUUUGACAUAAUUUAUUUACUAAGUAAACGAUAUUGAAAAAAACUAAAAUUUUAUUUCUAGGAACUUCAUAUACUCUAGAUCAUAUUUAACGGUAUGGAUCGUUGAUUUAAAUGCCCUAAGAUAAAAAACAAACACUAUAGUACCGGAGCUCGGU
rnacentral:lncRNA from 1 species